rnacentral:rRNA from 1 species
UACCUGCAGCUCGAGUGGUGAUCGUUAUUAUUGGGCCUAAAACGUCCGUAGCCGGUCUUGUAAAUGCCUGGGUAAAUCGUAUGGCUUAACCAUACGAAUUCCGGGUAGACUGUUAGACUUGAGACCGGGAGAAGCUAGAGGUACUCCUGGGGUAGAGGUGAAAUUCUGUAAUCCUAGGGGGACCACCAGUGGCGAAGGCGUCUAGCUAGAACGGGUCUGACGGUGAGGGAUGAAGCCCUGGGGAGCAAACGGGAUUAGAUACCCCGGUAGUCCAGGGUGUAAACGCUGCUCGCUUGAUGUUAGUCGGGCUCCGAGCCCAACUAGUGUAGGAGAGAAGUUGUUAAGCGAGCUGCCUGGGAAGUACGGUCGCAAGACUGAAACUUAAAGGAAUUGGCGGGGAGCACCGCAACGGGUGGAGCGUGCGGUUU